rnacentral:rRNA from 1 species
GGCAAUGGCCAUGCCACCUUGAACAAGCCCGAUGCCAUCUGAUCUCGGAAGCUAAGCAGUUAGUACUUGGAUGGGAGACCACAUAGGAAGACCAGGUGCUGUAGGCA